rnacentral:rRNA from 1 species
AUUGAACGCUGGCGGCAUGCCUUACACAUGCAAGUCGAACGGCAGCACGGGUGCUUGCACCUGGUGGCGAGUGGCGAACGGGUGAGUAAUACAUCGGAACGUACCUUAUCGUGGGGGAUAACGCAGCGAAAGUUGCGCUAAUACCGCAUACGCCCUGAGGGGGAAAGCGGGGGACCGUAAGGCCUCGCGCGAUUAGAGCGGCCGAUGUCUGAUUAGCUUGUUGGUGAGGUAAAAGCUCACCAAGGCGAUGAUCAGUAGCUGGUCUGAGAGGACGAUCAGCCACACUGGGACUGAGACACGGCCCAGACUCCUACGGGAGGCAGCAGUGGGGAAUUUUGGACAAUGGGGGCAACCCUGAUCCAGCAAUGCCGCGUGAGUGAAGAAGGCCUUCGGGUUGUAAAGCUCUUUUGUCAGGGAAGAAACAGCAGCUCUAACACAGUCUGCGAAUGACGGUACCUGAAGAAUAAGCACCGGCUAACUACGUGCCAGCAGCCGCGGUAAUACGUAGGGUGCGAGCGUUAAUCGGAAUUACUGGGCGUAAAGCGUGCGCAGGCGGUUAUACAAGACAGGCGUGAAAUCCCCGGGCUUAACCUGGGAAUGGCGUCUGUGACUGUAUAGCUAGAGUGUGUCAGAGGGGGGUGGAAUUCCACGUGUAGCAGUGAAAUGCGUAGAUAUGUGGAGGAACACCAAUGGCGAAGGCAGCCCCCUGGGAUAACAC